rnacentral:tRNA from 1 species
GGGCGUCAACGCCCUCCCCCCGGGGCCAUCGCGGGGCCAAUGAGCCUGUCGGCCUACAAGGCCGGCCCGGAGGAGGGCGC